rnacentral:rRNA from 1 species
UACGUAGGGGGCUAGCGUUGUCCGGAAUCAUUGGGCGUAAAGCGUGCGUAGGUGGUUUGUUAAGUCUGAUGUGAAAGCCCUGGGCUCAACCUGGGAACGGCAUUGGAAACUGGCUUACUAGAGUGCGGUAGAGGGGUGUGGAAUUCCCGGUGUAGCAGUGAAAUGCGUAGAUAUCGGGAGGAACAUCUGUGGCGAAGGCGACACCCUGGACCAGCACUGACACUGAGGCACGAAAGCGUGGGGAGCAAACAGG